AUCGCCUCUCCGUGGCAUACCAUCAUCGCCGGUCGGCGCUCAUGUAGAGGAACUCCACCUCCUCUACAGCCGGCACCCCCGCAUCAUCAUUAUCCUUUUCGCCCACUCAUAGAUUAUACUGAAGAGUUGGCGAAUUUUGAGUGCAAAACCACAGAUGAUGCUCCGCACAAUAACGCAAGUGGAGCAAAACUUACAAGUCUGACAACGUGGACGGCCAAAAGGGACACAACCGGUCGGGAUAUCCUUGUCGCCACACAUCUUCACCAAGAACGAGUCGACUCGUGACGCAUUUUUGCAAGUGCCUUCGCUGCAUUUCCCGGA